CAACCGGUGUUAAAGGAUUUCUUUUUCUUUUUUUUUAAUUCACUUCUUCGGUUCUGUUUAUUGUUUAUAUAUAAUAUAUAAUAAUAGGUUUUUCAAUACAUGUUUUGCUGAUACAAUAAUAUAUUUAUAUUACACGCAUAUUAAGCAUAUAUAAAUGAAAAUUAUAGGCUAAGCUUAAUAGUUAAGCUUUGCCUAUAAUAAAAUGAAUAGACCACAUCAAAAAUUAAAUAGAUAUGUAAAAAGCUUUAUAUAUAUAUAGUUUUAUAUGUACAAAAUUCGUAACACAUAUAUACAUAGAGUUUGUUCUCCCAAUGUCUACAAACGAUACAAAUGAUCAUCGUUGUUUGGUAU
rnacentral:lncRNA from 1 species